AUAGCACCAUAUAAACUCGUCUCA
rnacentral:siRNA from 1 species